rnacentral:misc_RNA from 1 species
AACGCACGAGACCUGCGGACCUGCGGAAGGAUCAUUACCGAGUUAGGGUUCCUCUCACGGGCCCGACCUCCCAACCCUGUGUCUAUCACACCUUGUCGUUGCUUCGGCGGACCGGUUUGACUCCGGUCGCGACCGCCGGGGGUGCUUCACCCCGGGAGAGCGUCCGCCGAUGGCCCAACCACAAAACUUCUUUGUACCAAAACCGGUCGUCUAAAUCAAACUUGAUCAUAAUCAAAAAAC